AGCCCAGUGGGAGAUUCGCACUCCCGUCAAUUGGUUACAAAACAAUUGCAUUAACUAACUAUGCUAACCGAGC